AGAGUUUGAUCCUGGCUCAGGACGAACGCUGGCGGCGUGCCUAACACAUGCAAGUCGAACGGAGCAAUUUCUUCGGAGGUUGCUUAGUGGCGAACGGGUGAGUAACGCGUGAGAAACCUGCCUUUCAGUGGGGGACAACAGUUGGAAACGACUGCUAAUACCGCAUAAUGUUAUUUGGGGGCAUCCCCGGAUAACCAAAGAUUUAUUGCUGAAAGAUGGUCUCGCGUCUGAUUAGCUAGUUGGUGAGGUAACGGCUCACCAAGGCGACGAUCAGUAGCCGGUCUGAGAGGAUGAACGGCCACAUUGGGACUGAGAUACGGCCCAGACUCCUACGGGAGGCAGCAGUGGGGAAUAUUGCACAAUGGGGGAAACCCUGAUGCAGCAACGCCGCGUGAAGGAAGACGGUCUUCGGAUUGUAAACUUUUGUUCUUAGUGAAGAAAAAUGACGGUAGCUAAGGAGAAAGCCACGGCUAACUACGUGCCAGCAGCCGCGGUAAUACGUAGGUGGCAAGCGUUGUCCGGAAUUACUGGGUGUAAAGGGAGCGCAGGCGGGACAGCAAGUUGGAUGUGAAAUACCGAGGCUUAACCUCGGAGCUGCAUCCAAAACUGUAGUUCUUGAGUGAAGUAGAGGUAGGCGGGAUUCCGAGUGUAGCGGUGAAAUGCGUAGAUAUUCGGAGGAACACCAGUGGCGAAGGCGGCCUACUGGGCUUUAACUGACGCUGAGGCUCGAAAGUGUGGGGAGCAAACAGGAUUAGAUACCCUGGUAGUCCACACUGUAAACGAUGCUUGCAAGGUGUGGGGGGGGUCUGACCCCCUUCCGUGCCGGAGUUACGCCAAUAAGCAAUCCACCUGGGGAGUACGGCGGCAAGGGUGAAACUCAAAAGGAAUUGACGGGGGCCCGCACAGCCAGUGGAUUAUGUGGUUAAAUUCGAAGCAACGCGAAGACCCUUACCAGGUCUUGACAUCCGACUAACGAGAUAGAGAUAUGUCAGGUGCCCUUCGGGGAAAGUCGAGACAGGUGGUGCAUGGUUGUCGUCAGCUCGUGUCGUGAGAUGUUGGGUUAAGUCCCGCAACGAGCGCAACCCCUGCCAUUAGUUGCUACGCAAGAGCACUCUAAUGGGACCGCUACCGACAAGGUGGAGGAAGGUGGGGACGACGUCAAAUCAUCAUGCCCCUUAUGACCUGGGCUACACACGUAAUACAAUGGCCGUUAACAACGAGGAGCAAACCCGCGAGGGGGAGCAAAACUUCAAAAACGGUCUCAGUUCGGAUUGCAGGCUGCAACUCGCCUGCAUGAAGUUGGAAUUGCUAGUAAUCGCGGAUCAGCAUGCCGCGGUGAAUACGUUCCCGGGCCUUGUACACACCGCCCGUCA
rnacentral:rRNA from 1 species